rnacentral:rRNA from 1 species
UGCAUGGCCGUCGUCAGUUCGUGGUUUGAAUUGUACCCUUAAGUGGGCUAACGAACGCAACCCUCGUUGUGUGUUACAAGUGUCACACGAGACCGCCCGUCCCAGUGCCGAGGUUGACUUGUUUGGAACGCGUCCCAGUACCGAUAUUGAAUUUCAAUUUCGGCAAUGGGAUUUGCUUUUAGACGCGUCAACGUCGGUAGCGGGACGGGAGGAAGGAGAGGAUGACGCCAGGUCAGCAUGUCCCUUUGAUAUCCUGGGCUACACACAUAAUACAAUGGCGACUACAACGCGUAGCGACGGGGCGACCCUGAGCUAAUCGUCCAAAAGUGGCCUCGGUUCGGAUUGAAGUCUGCAACUCGACUUCAUGAAGCUGGAAUUGCUAGUAAUCGCAGGUCAGCUAAACUGCGGUGAAUACGUUCUCAAGUCUUGUACUCAC